GAUGAAGAACGCAGCGAAAUGCGAUAAGUAAUGCGAAUUGCAGAAUCCGUGAGUCAUCGAAUCUUUGAACGCACAUUGCGCCCCUUGGUUAGUCCGAAGGGCAUGCCUGUUCGAGCGUCAUUAUCACCCCUCAAGCCCUGGCUUGGUGUUGGACUUUAGUUAUAGCUUUGCCUAUCAACUGGUCUCAAAGAUAGUGACGGCGCCCCAGAGGGAACCGGGUACGAGGAGCUUUUUACUAAGCAUGUAUCUGGGACGACUCUGGGCGACGGUCUUGUUAUACUUUUUACCUAAGUGUUGACCUCGGAUCAGGUAGGAAUACCCGCUGAACUUAAGCAUAUCAAUAAGCGGAGGA
rnacentral:misc_RNA from 1 species